UCCUUAAUCCUUAAUCCUUGUCAUUUUGUUUCACUGGAUUCGUUUCUUUAAAAAAAAUAUAUUUUUCAUCAUUCUCAGUUUUAAAUGAUGAUAUUAUUGAAUAUCUUUGGCCUGUAGUGCAAGGACGAAUAUAUGAUUUCAGAUAUAUAUUGAUUGAUGUUACAGGGAUAAAAAUAUUGAUGAUGGACUGUUAAAUUCAUAGAUAUUAGUAGAUUUCAUCCUCUACGUAACUCUUCUAUGAAUUAAUAUUUUUCGCUGCGAGUAUUGAUUUUAAAACUUGUUGUCUAUUGUAU
rnacentral:lncRNA from 1 species